AUUGAACGCUGGCGGCAGGCCUAACACAUGCAAGUCGAACGGUAACAGGAAGCAUCUUGCUGCUUUUCUGACGAGUGGCGGACGGGUGAGUAAUGUCUGGGAAACUGCCUGAUGGAGGGGGAUAACUACUGGAAACGGUAGCUAAUACCGCAUAACUUCGCAAGACCAAAGAGGGUUACCUUCGGGCCGCUUGCCAUCGGAUGUUCCCAGCUGGUAUUGGCUAGUAGGUGGGGUAACGGCUCACCUAGGCGGCGAUCCCUAGCUGGUCUGAGGGGAUGACAGGCCACCCUGGAAGGGAGACACGGUCCAUACUCCUGCGAGAGGCAGCAGAGGGGAAUAUGGCACAGUGGGCGCAAGCCUGGUGCAGCGAUGCCGCGUGUAUGAAGAAGACCUUCGGGUUGUAAAGUACUUUCAGCGGGGAGGAAGGGAGUAAAGUUGAUACCUAUGCUCAUUGACGUUACCCGCAGAAGAAGCACCGGCUAACUCCGUG
rnacentral:rRNA from 1 species